rnacentral:rRNA from 1 species
GACGAACGCUGGCGGCGUGCUUAACACAUGCAAGUCGAACGGUAAGGCCCUUCGGGGUACACGAGUGGCGAACGGGUGAGUAACACGUGGGUGAUCUGCCCUGCACUUCGGGAUAAGCCUGGGAAACUGGGUCUAAUACCGGAUAGGACUCCGGACUGCAUGGUCUGGGGUGGAAAGCUUUUGCGGUGUGGGAUGGGCCCGCGGCCUAUCAGCUUGUUGGUGGGGUGAUGGCCUACCAAGGCGACGACGGGUAGCCGGCCUGGGAGGGUGACCGGGCACACUGGGACUGGGAUACGGCCCAGACUCCUACGGGAGGCAGCAGUGGGGAAUAUUGCACAAUGGGCGCAAGCCUGAUGCAGCGACGCCGCGUGAGGGAUGACGGCCUUCGGGUUGUAAACCUCUUUCAGCAUCGACGAAGCGAAAGUGACGGUAGGUGCAGAAGAAGGACCGGCCAACUACGUGCCAGCCGCCGCUGUAA